UACGGGGGGGUAAGCGUUGUUCGGAAUUACUGGGCGUAAAGGGCUCGUAGGCGGCCAACUAAGUCAGACGUGAAAUCCCUCAGCUUAACUGGGGAACUGCGUCUGAUACUGGAUGGCUUGGAUUUGGGAGAGGGAUGCGGAAUUCCAGGUGUAGCGGUGAAAUGCGUAGAUAUCUGGAGGAACACCGGUGGCGAAGGCGGCAUCCUGGACCAAUAUUGACGCUGAGGAGCGAAAGCCAGGGGAGCAAAGCGGGG
rnacentral:rRNA from 1 species